rnacentral:rRNA from 1 species
UCCGCUUGAUCCUGCCGGACCCGACUGCUAUCAGAGUGAGAUUAAGCCAUGCGAGUCAACGUAGCAAUACGUGGCACACGGCUCAGUAACACGUAGUCAACAUAACCAAAGGACGUGGAUAAACUCGGGAAACUGAGGCUAAACCGCGAUAGACCAAGAUACCUGGAAUGGUUUUUGAUCAAAAUCUAUAUGGCCUUUGGAUUGGACUGCGUCCGAUCAGGCUGUUGGUGAGGUAAUGGCCCACCAAACCUAUAACCGGUACGGGCUCUGAGAGGAGGAGCCCGGAGAUGGGUACUGAGAAAAGGACCCAGGCCCUAUGGGGCGCAGCAGGCGCGAAACCUCUGCAAUAGGCGAAAGCCUGACAGGGUUACUCUGAGUGACUUUCGCUAAGAAAGUCUUUUGACACCUCUAAAAAUGGUGUAGAAUAAGGGGUGGGCAAGUCUGGUGUCAGCCGCCGCGGUAAUACCAGCACCCCGAGUGGUCGGGACGAUUAUUGGGCCUAAAGCAUCCGUAGCCGGCCUUACAAGUCCUCCGUUAAAUCCAACUGCUUAACAGAUGGGCCGCGGAGGAUACUAUAAGACUAGGAGGCAGGAGAGGCAAGCGGUACUCAGUGGGUAGGGGUAAAAUCCGUUGAUCCAUUGAAGACCACCAGUGGCGAAGGCGGCUUGCCAGAAUGCGCUCGACGGUGAGGGAUGAAAGCUGGGGGAGCAAACCGGAUUAGAUACCCGGGUAGUCCCAGCUGUAAACGAUGCAGACUCGGUGAUGGACCAGCUUAAUGCUAGUCCAGUGCCGCAGGGAAGCCGUUAAGUCUGCCGCCUGGGUAGUACGG